GGAUUAGAUACCCUGGUAGUCCACGCCGUAAACGAUGUGCGCUAGCCGUCGGUCAGCAUGCUGUUCGGUGGCGUAAGCUAACGCGUUAAGCGCACCGCCUGGGGAGUACGGCCGCAAGGUUAAAACUCAAAGGAAUUGACGGGGGCCCGCACAAGCGGUGGAGCAUGUGGUUUAAUUCGAUGCAACGCGAAGAACCUUACCAGCCCUUGACAUGCCCGUUAAGGUCGCCGGAGACGGCGUCCGUCGGUUCGGCCGGACGGGACACAGGUGCUGCAUGGCUGUCGUCAGCUCGUGUUG
rnacentral:rRNA from 1 species